rnacentral:rRNA from 1 species
UACGAAGGGGGCUAGCGUUGCUCGGAAUCACUGGGCGUAAAGCGCACGUAGGCGGCUUUUUAAGUCAGGGGUGAAAUCCUGGAGCUCAACUCCAGAACUGCCUUUGAUACUGAGAAGCUUGAGUCCGGGAGAGGUGAGUGGAACCGCGAGUGUAGAGGUGAAAUUCGUAGAUAUUCGCAAGAACACCAGUGGCGAAGGCGGCUCACUGGCCCGGUACUGACGCUGAGGUGCGAAAGCGUGGGGAGCAAACAGG